rnacentral:lncRNA from 1 species
CGUGUCCUGAUCACAACAAACUGCCAGAAGGCUACAGAUAUUGCUUGAAUGGUGACGGCGAACGGACGGGUUGCCUUUCUUCAGUCAGAUGCGGCGGUAGCUGCACGAUCUGUUACGGAUACAAGGUUGGAUGCACAGGUGUGUGCGUGUAUAACUCAAGCGCGCCACUCGUACGAUGAACACCGAAGGAGACAAAGCCACCUUUUGGUGGAGACGGCGGCCGAGAGGGUCAAGAAGCCAAAGUGCACCUAAUAUUUCAACAACCAAAGAAGAACUGGAGAUUCCUUACGUCAUUUAUUGUUUUUAUUUUUUAGAGAAUACAAUCACUUUGUCAAAUAAAAUUCUUUCCUGCUUUUU